rnacentral:rRNA from 1 species
GAUGAACGCUGGCGGCGUGCCUAAUACAUGCAAGUCGAGCGAACGGACGAGAAGCUUGCUUCUCUUAUGUUAGCGGCGGACGGGUGAGUAACACGUGGAUAACCUACCUAUAAGACUGGGAUAACUUCGGGAAACCGGAGCUAAUACCGGAUAAUAUUUUGAACCGCAUGGUUCAAAAGUGCAAGACGUUCUUGCUGUCACUUAUAGAUGGAUCCGCGCUGCAUUAGCUAGUUGGUAAGGUAACGGCUUACCAAGGCAACGAUGCAUAGCCGACCUGAGAGGGUGAUCAGCCACACUGGAACUGAGACACGGUCCAGACUCCUACGGGAGGCAGCAGUAGGGAAUCUUGCGCAAUGGGCGAAAGCCUGACGGAGCAACGCCGCGUGAGUGAAGAAGGUCUUCGGAUCGUAAAACUCUUUUAUUAGGGAAGAACAUAUGUGUGAGUAUCUGUGGACAUCUUGACGUUACCAAAAGAGAAAGCAACGGCUAACUUCGUG